UGUGGAAAAGUGUCGUGCAAGAGAGGAAGCCUGCGUGAGAAGCCGACUCAGCCCCCAGAGCAGACUCUGCCAUCUCCUAGCUGCGGGAGGGAAGACUCUCUAGGAAACUCCCAAUACAAAGGAACAACUCUGCUUCAAAGUGUCCCGUGCAAAGCUACAUCACAGGAGAAUCUGCCUUCAACAAGAGCAUUAUUUGUCACAGAUGCAACAAUCCAAUAAGGGCAUUCGAA
rnacentral:lncRNA from 1 species